AUUGAACGCUGGCGGGAGGCCUAACACAUGCAAGUCGAACGAGUGGCGGACGGGUGAGUAAUGUGUGGGAAACUGCCUGAUGGAGGGGGAUAACUAAUGGAAAAGGUAGCUAAUAACGCAUAACAAAGGAUGUGACAAGAUGGGAUUAGCUAGUAGGUGGGGUAAAGGCUCACCAAGGCGACGAUCCCUAGCGGGUAUGAUAGGAUGACCAGCCACACUGGAACUUAGACACGGUCCAUACUCCUACGGGAGGCAGCAGGGGGUAAUAUUGCACAAUGGUCGCAAGCCUGAUGCAGCCAUGCCGCGUGUAUGAAGAAGGCCUUCGGGUUGUAAAGUACUUUCAGCGGGGAGGCGUUACCCGCAGAAGAAGCACCGGCUAACUCCGUGCCAGCAGCCGCGGUAAUAC
rnacentral:rRNA from 1 species